AGUGAUUCUGGUUGAUCCUGCCAGUAGUCAUAUGCUAGUCUCAAAGGUUAAGCCAUGCAUGUCUGAGUUCAACUAAUUGACUUGAAGACUGUGGAUAGCUCAUUAAAACAGUUAUUGUUUAUUUGACGAUGAAAUACCAAAUGGAUAACUUUGGUAAUUCUAGAGCUAAUACAUGAGCAAAAUCAUUCGCAAGAGCGAUGUGUUUAUUAGAUACCAACCAAACUGCUUCGGCAGGCCUGGUGACUCAUAGUAAAUGAUCGAAUCGCACGGCGCAUGCCAGGCGAUGCGUCAUUCAAUUUUCUGACCUAUCAGCUUCCGACGGUAAGGUAUUGGCUUACCGUGGCAGUGACGGGUAACGGGGAAUUAGGGUUUGAUUCCGGAGAGGGAGCCUGAGAAACGGCUACCACAUCUAAGGAAGGCAGCAGGCGCGUAAAUUACCCAAUCCUGACACAGGGAGGUAGUGACAAGAAAUAGCAAUACAGCAUACAUCGUAUGUUGUAAUUGGAAUGAGUCCAAGGUAAAACUUUGCGCGAGUAUCAAUUGGAGGGCAAGUCUGGUA
rnacentral:rRNA from 1 species